rnacentral:rRNA from 1 species
AUUGAACGCUGGCGGCAGGCCUAACACAUGCAAGUCGAGCGGAUGAAGGGAGCUUGCUCCUGGAUUCAGCGGCGGACGGGUGAGUAAUGCCUAGGAAUCUGCCUGGUAGUGGGGGAUAACGUCCGGAAACGGGCGCUAAUACCGCAUACGUCCUGAGGGAGAAAGUGGGGGAUCUUCGGACCUCACGCUAUCAGAUGAGCCUAGGUCGGAUUAGCUAGUUGGUGGGGUAAAGGCCUACCAAGGCGACGAUCCGUAACUGGUCUGAGAGGAUGAUCAGUCACACUGGAACUGAGACACGGUCCAUACUCCUACGGGAGGCAGCAGUGGGGAAUAUUGGACAAUGGGCGAAAGCCUGAUCCAGCCGUGCCGCGUGUGUGAAGAAGGUCUUCGGAUUGUAAAGCACUUUAAGUUGGGAGGAAGGGCAGUAAGUUAAUACCUUGCUGUUUUGACGUUACCAACAGAAUAAGCACCGGCUAACUUCGUG